rnacentral:lncRNA from 1 species
CGUCUCAUGGAUCUGUUUGAAGGUAAAAUAGUUUAGUACGGCGUGGUUGUUGUUGGCUUUGGGACCUUUGAUGUUGUGAGUUGUUUGGACCUGGGGUUGAUGAGUUUUGGUUGACUGGACAUGUGAACCACAAUAUGGACCAGGGAUUGGCUGUGGUUUGAUGAGGUUCAGUUUUGGUUGGUGCAUCUUAUGAACAUCGUGUACUGAUACUAAGCUACUGGCUAUGUUAUUUUGGUUGGUGCAUCUUAUCAACCUGUGGUGUAAUGAUACUGUUGGGCCUAAGUUAAUGAAAUCUUGGAGAAUUAUAUUUAUCACUCUAUUCUCCUGUAUUGGUUGACUACCAAAUUGUGCAAUGAUUUUUUUCUUUUGGAGCUACUUUUGGCUAUUGGCUGGACAGCAAAAAUACUAAAUUGUAUGAGUGGGCUGGCUUGUCUCAAGGCCCAAUAUAGUUUUUUUGAUAGAAAAAAGAUUCAUAUAUUUUUGUUGGCUAGAGAGAAGGGCUGGCCCAAUUAAUGAUAGAUUGAAUAAAUGGACUGCACAUUGCCUAAGCCCAAGAACUAACAUUAACGUGCCAUGGCCCAAAAGUAAGUGUAAAAAUGGGCUAAAUUAUUGGGCUCAGCCCAUUAAAACAACAGAUUUGGACUGAUCCUGCAUGGCAUCCACGUCAUCAUUUUUUCCACAUCAGCGCCAUGUUGGUUCAGCCACAUCGGAUCCUACGUGGCCUAGGCUCAUUAGUAAUGACCAUAAUUUUGGUCAAAUAUUUAACGACCAAAAUUUUGGUCAAGGGCGGCCAUGACAAAAAUUCCAGAAAAGGUCAUGUUUGUUCAUUCUUGAUGUCCAACUGUUGACCUUCCGAAUUUGGUCAAAAAAGGUCAAUAAACAAAAGCAAUGACGAAUUAACGACCAAAAUGGGGAGUCAUAAUUGACCAUAUUUCUUGUAGUGAAGUGUGACCUAUGGUUUAGCUUAGUGGUCGUGUCCUACACUCAGUGUGUGCUCUGAUACCAUCUUGUAGCGACCCGACCUUAAACAGUCAAGUCUCUGUGCUUUAGUGUCAUCCUUUUAUCGAUAAUGCUGAUACACACAGUACUCGAAGGAUUUGUAACAGAGUAGCAAUCACACACUUAUUACAUCGAAUGUCUCAAAAGACAACUUAUUACAAUAAUAUGGCUUAAGGCCAUCUAAUGCGAUAAUAGCUGAAGGCUUGGAAUAUAAGUGAGUCCAUCAACUCGAAUGGCAUAGCUGAGCUGCAUGGCAACGACCAAAUGAACCUUACUCCUCGUCUGAAAAGUCUGCAACAUAAUAUGUUGCAACCCGAGAAUGGUUCAGCACAUGGAAUAUGCUGGCAAUGUAACACAGCAGGACAAGAACAGAAUAAUGCUAUCACUACAUGCAUAUUUGGCUGGUGGAAAGCUCUAUGGUUAUAGUUUUGCGAAAAGCCAAUUUUUCCCUACAACAAAGGAAUAGAUUUUAAUUUAACUAUCAUGGUGGUUGAACAAAUAUCGAGAAGGUAAUCGCAACUCAAUCCCAAUUAAAGUAAUUAACAACCCAACAAUAUUAAUUAAGAGUGAUGAGAUACAUGUGAUAACCCAAGUACUAGAUACUCAAGAUUGUCCAUAACCGGGGACACGGCGAACCAUGAUUAGAUUGUACACUCUGCUUGCGCACUUUUCCCCACAAGACUCGAUCGCCUCCGUUGGAUUUCUCGCACUACAUGGUGUUUGAGAAACGGAUGACCGAGACACAGUCUUUCAGAAACAUUAACUCUCUACUCCGGGUAGACCAUACCAAACCUACAAAACCCACUACCUGUUGAUCCACCUCUUCAAGAGCUUCAUGUAACUUACUCAACUAUGCUAGAGCCCAUAAUAGCUUGUGGCUGCACACGGAAGUUUCUAGCAUGAAUCACCUCAGUUCCCUUUGAGCCUGGGUGGAGGUCCAUAGGAAGAUCACACGGAUACCCCGGGAUUUCCAAAAAAACAGACAACACUAGGUUCCCCUGGUGCCUCAAUCCACCCAGAUGUUAAUUUAAGUUGCCACCUUAAGUUGAACCAUUAAUUAAUAACCUCACAUUUGUCAUGGAUUUCACUCAAACCCAAACCACGUCUACGAGCAUAGCAUAGCAUAGCAAUAUAAGCAACGCGUAGAAGUAACUCCCAAUGGUUUGAUAGUAACAGGAUAAUAGGUUCUACCUCAACAACUACUUCCCAACCCACAAGUUAAUGACGUCCUAAUCAUGCAAUGUUUGAGGAUUGGAACUAAUGCAUAAAAACUGGGUAUGAAAAGAGUAUGAUCAAUGUGUUACUUGCCUUGCAGACGAUCCGCGAAACCUAGAGACUCAUAGUAACACGCUUCACACUCCGGGUGUUCUAUCGCAAACAAACAAUAACAUACAUAAGCAACAAGCGAAAAGAUAAACAGAUUCUAAGAUCGGAUAAGAAAUCGCGAUCGAGAAAAAUCGCAGAUAAAUCCUAUAAAAAGUAAACUGAUGAACAGUCUCACGAACGAGCGUUCGUUAGCUGUGAAUAACGGGCGAAAGCCGUUCGUUAAAACGUACGUAGAGACGAACGUCCGUUAAAUAGAAGAACCGAGAAAAACCGGCGAACGAUCUAAAAAAAAGAACUAUGGGUUUCUAAAAAAACCGAACGGUUAAAAAACGGCGGCUCGGGUCUGGUGCGGUACCUCCGGCGAGGGGCUCGGGUGAGGCUGGGUUGGGCGGCGGGGCUCGGCGGCAAAGGCAGCAGGCGCGGGCGGCGCGGGCGGCUGUGGGCGGCGCGGUCGGCGGUGGUGGUGUGGUGGUGGGGGGCCGGGUGGUACGUAUAUAAAGGGAGAGGGGGCGACUUGGAGGAGGGGGCAAGGCGCGGCGGAGGCGGAGACCAGCUCGGACUCCGGUCCGAGCUCGGCGCCGGCGGCGCUUGCGUGCGGGAAGGCGGCGGCGGCUUGGGCCGGCGGCCCAGCUGGGUUUGGCCCAGUCGGCUGGAGAUUUUUUUUUAAAACAAUUUCACCGACAUAUAUAAAAUCCUAGAAAAUAAAAUAAAAAACUAAAAAUGCCAAAACAAAUUUUUACCGUCUAAAAAAAUAUUUAGAGCGAGAUGAACAUUUUCUUGGCCCUAAAAUGCAAUUUCGAAAACAUGCAAUUUUUCUAAUGCAAAUAAAAUCCAAAUAAAAUCGAAUAAAAUCAAAAUAAAUGAUUUUAACAUUUUUCCUCCAAUAUUUCAAUUAUUUUGGAGAAGUCAUAUUGUCUCCUCUCUUUUAUUUUAAUACAAAAUAUUUUUCGGAGAGAAAAAUUAUUAAAAUCAAAUUCCUCGUUUCAUUAUUUGAUAAGAAUCAAAUAUGAAAUCCUGGAAAUCCCCAACUCUCUCCGAGGGUCCUUGAGUUGCUUAGGAUUUCAAGGAUUGCGAAAAUGAAAACGCAAUAAAAUAUGAUAUGCAUGCAUGACCUAUGAAUAACAUUCCAAAUUGAAAAUUUAGGAUGUUACAAGUAGUUUCAGUUUGCUUGCAAGGAGUAGUUUCAGUAAAGUUUCAGCAUGGUUUUAGUAUAGUCUCAGUAGCCGAAUUGCUAUUCACUUUCUGCUAUUAGUUUGCUUCCAUCUUUGUGCCCACUCUGAAGAGUAUUCGUAUAUGCUUGGAACUAAACAGAAUUAUACAAUGAACUUCUGCAGGCUGAUCUGAGUUGGACCAUCCUCUGCAGCCAACUUCUCUUUGGCAAGAGGAAGAAAGGAGAAUCGGGGUAUGGUUUCACCCCUAAAAGAUAUAUUGUUGUACCCCGAGUGAAGGGAAGGAAUUUGCUGGGUUUUGUCUCCAACCAUCGUGUCGUGAUGAUUUUGUAGGUACCCCGAGAGGCCCUUGAAUUUACCAGAAUGUCGAUUAACUUCUGUUCCGGCAAAUUCGGGUACUCCAUAUGUCCUAUUUUCAGCAAAGGUCAUGCUGAAAUUUUCUGUGAAUUUUAGCAUGACUUUGCUAAAAAUAGGACAUAUGGGGUACUCGCGACAAAUGCAUGGGCCGGGGUAUCUUAGUACUUAAUUAAGUAGGAUCAACUGCCUCUUGUGUUAUACAUAUAGAAGUGUGAUAUCAACUCCUAGUUAUUACUAAUGUCAGUUGCUCGUCAUCGAUAAACCCUAAUCUGGUAGGAUGACCUACUAAAAAAGCCCAUACCACAUAUCCUAUUUGGAUGGCCCUGCUAACCCUUGACCAUAAAUAUUUGAGAUGGAUGUAGCAGGCUUAAAGAAAGAAAUGUUUUUAGGCCAACUCCACUGGGCCUGGCUGAAAAUGCACAAGUGUGCAUGACUAACAAUAUUCUAUUGUAAAUCUAAAUAGGAAAGAGGAACCACUCAUCCUAACCAUUUGCUCUCAAAAUUACCACUUCACUUCUUACUACUGAAAAUCUUAGACCAUCUCCAUUCACCAAUUGCUCAAACCAAUUCGAAGGGCGUGUUUUCACCACACUGUGGAUUAUCUUAUUGGCCCCAAAAGAGAUGAUGUAGUUUUGAAUUAUGAACGUAGGAAAUGUCGUCAUCGGACAAUGAAAGUCUCCCCAGGGAGUGCAGCUGGUGCCACGACGAUCAAGGUAUGUGCGACAGGCCUCACCUGGACGAUGAUCGGCGCUUCAGCAUUAAGCUCGAGGAGACCUUCGAAGUUGAAACGGUACACAAGGAUGACAAGUGUUUUUUUCAUAAUUAAGCAUGACUUCAACUAUUUCAACGUGUAAUUUUCAUCUUUUACAAUUCGAGUAUAGCUUAUCACAUGCCAUGCGAGACGCUAUGUCUUGGAGAGGAUGUAUUUUGAAGACCAUGAAAAUUCGGAAACAAAGAAAAUUCACCUAAGGACUCAUCAUGAUGUGGAUUUUGAAGUAAAUCUGUAUAAUUCUGGGAGCGUAACCCAUUUUGGUUGCAAAAAUUGGGGAGCAUUUUGCAAGAUGUAUGGUUUUGAUGAGGGUAUGCUUGUCACCAUGGAUCUUGGUGAUCCUGACAUCGACCAAGACAAUAUGGACAUUUGGGUCCUUGUUGAUACGCCUCUAGUUCUACCGCUAUGUGAGUUUCUCAAACAUAGUUAAUUAUUAACUAAUUUAUAUUUUUCAUUUCAAAAUAGUUGACAUCUUAUUUCCAUUGAUAGCUUAUUUUGAUUGUUCAAAAAAUGUGCGGAACAUGGUAAACAAAACCCACUACACCAAUGGCUCCGAGUUAACUUAUCAAGAGAAAAAUCAUUUGGUCGGAUUUUGUACUGAUCUUGAGAAUUACAAUAUCUAUUGUAAAACUCCUCAACAUUAUGGUCAAUACGUGCCACUAGUGCACGUGUUGAACUACGGUAACUACCAUGGAGAUACCCUGGUAAGAUAUUUUACUAUUACGACAUCCGUGCAUCUUUUGCAUACUUCUAAAACUAGUACAUCAUUGCUAACUAUGAAGUUAUUACUAUGUUUUUCAACAGAGAAUCCUAGAGGAUUGUGUGCCUCAUUUGAUGUAUCCGAAUGGCAGCCUUCGUGUUUUGAACAUAUAUCCAGGUCAUCCUACGAAUCUCAACUGUCCAUACUGGAUUUCUCAAAAAAGUGGAGACAUGCUAAUCAGUAAAUGGAAAAAAUGUAUGGACAGUCCUAAGGAGGUUCUUGGAAGCAAAAGGAAGCGAAGCGCAAGAAUUGGAGACAGGAUGAUCUCCAUUCUCCAUAAUGGAGAGUCAGGGUCUAUAUUGUUUUAUGCUAUUUUACCUUAAAUAGGGUAUUUAGGUCCUGCCUAAUACUGAUGAUCAUGUGCUAAGAACAAUUAAGUAGGGUUGGUUUGAUGACUAUCAAGAUGAUGAUUGUAUGACUUGUUAUUAAUAACGAGUAGAAGUUGUAUGAUGAUGAUUAGUAGGACUUGUUAGGAUUAGUAUUACUUUCGACAAACUCGCUACUCGCGGUCUCGAGACUUGUAAUGUUCUAUCUUUGUUCGGUCUUUUCAAUUCGGAGACUAAUAUGAUGAAUUGUAUUCGGAGACUAAUCUUCUAUUGUAUUCUAUGAAUCUGCUGUUGCUGUGUGGUGCUGUCUAUAUUCUGUCCAGUAAUAUAUUUUGUAACCUGUGCAAAUAUCAGGAAAAAAAAAUCCCUAAUAUUCAUACUAGUGGCGCACCACCAACUAGUGCGCCAUUAGUAAGCCAAAGCACACUAGUGUCGCAUCAUCAACUAGUGCGCCAUUAGUAAGCCAGAGCACAUGGGUAAAUAUGGCCCCCUGGGAGGCAUACUAAUGGCGCACCGUGGGUAUACUAAUGGCGCACUGCGUGGUGCGCCAUUAGUAUACCAGAUACUAAUGGCGCACCCGUGGUGCGCCAUUAGUAAAAAAUUCUAAUGGCGUGAUGCUAGUGGCGCACCUGUGGUGCGCCAUUAGUAGGCAAAACAGGUGCGCCACUGGCAGGCCUUUUCCUAGUAGUGCGAGACAUGUCUUCGGUCAAUAACCAAUAGCGGAACCUGGAUGCUCAUAUUGGUUCCUAGAUAUUCUACGAAGAUCUUUAUCGGUCAAACCACAUAACGUUAUACGUUGUUCCCUUUGUCAUCGGUGUGUUACUUGCCCGAGAUUCGAUCGUCGAUAUCUCAAUACCUAGUUCAAUCUCGUUACCGGCAAGUCUCUUUACUCGUUCCGUAAUGCUACAUCCCAUAACCAACUCAUUAGCUACAUUGCUUGCAAAGCUUAUUGUGAUGUACAUUACCGAGAGGGCCCAGAGAUACCUCUCCGACAAUCAGAGUGACAAAUCCUAAUCUUGAUCCAUGCCAACUCAACAAACACCAUUGGAGACACCUAUAGAGCACCUUUAUAAUCACCCAGUUACGUUGUGAAGUUUGGUAGCACACAAAGUGUUCCUCCGGUAUUCGGGAGUUGCAUGAUCUCAUAGUCAUAGGAACAUGUAUAGGUAUGGAGAAAGCAAUAGCAACAAUAUAACGAUCAUCGUGCUAAGCUAACAGAUGGGUUAAGUCAAUCACAUCAUUCUCUAAUGAUGUGAUCCCGUUAAUCAAAUGACAACUCAUGUCUAUGGUUAGGAAACAUAACCAUCAUUGAUUCAACGAGCUAGUCAAGUAGAGGCAAACUAGUGACACUCUAUUUGUCUAUGUAUUCACACAUGUACUAAGUUUCCGGUUAAUACAAUUCUAGCAUGAAUAAUAAACAUUUAUCAUGAUAUAAGGGAAUAUAAGUAAAAUAUUUAUUAUUGCCUCUAGGGCAUAUUUCCUUCAGGUCGGGUGAGAGGGGUUUGAUCGACGUCCCCCCUCAUGUCUAAGUCUAUGAACAACAUGAAAAUUUCUAAGUGAAUGAACAACUCUGAAUUUUUUUACAUGUACUCCUACAACAUGAAAAUUUCUAAGUGAUUGCUAAACUGUUUGCUAAGGGUAGGGGCGCGGCAGCGGGGGGUAGGGCAGGGGCGCACAGAGCCGCGGCGGGGAGGCAAAGAGGCAGGGUGCGGCGAGGGCGUCGGCGUCGCCGUCGAGGAGUUCGUCGCGCCGUCGGGGAGAGCAGGAUCGAAGAACUGAAUGGAAAAUUUUCAGAAGUGCUUCUUAUAUACACGAAGCAUUUGUCCCGGUUCGUGGCACCAUUCGGGACCAAUGUCCCCUUUAGUCCCGGUUCGUGCCACCAACCGGGACCAAUGGUCUUUUUUGGUCAGCACAAAGGGCGGGAAGCAGAGACCUUUUUGGACCCGGUUGGUGGCACCAACCAGGACUAAAGGGGGGCAUUGGUCCUGGUUGGGGCCACGAACCGAGACCAAAGGGGGGCAUUGGUCCUGGUUCAUGCCACCAACCGGGACCAAAGGCGUUGUGCUGUAACUGGCGCGGUGCGGUGGGAUGUUUAGUCCCACCUCGCUUGCUGAGAGGACUUGAGAGUGGUUUAUAAGCGCUACUACGCCAACCCUCUCGAGCUCCUCUCAACUGCAGGCUUACGGGCCUAAUCUCGCACUCCUCUUCCUAUGGGCCUACUGGGCCUGUGCAGGCCUGAAUCCUGGACCAACAAGUUCAUUGGGUUUCUAGUUGUAUUCAGCUCGUGGUGGCCCAAUAGGCGGUAUUUUUUUAAUUUUUUCUAGUCUUUUUGUUUUCUUUUUUUCUUUAUUUAUUUUCUUUUGUUUCUACUUACAGCUAAAUACUUAUAGUUUUUCAGUGAUUCUUUUUUGCUUUUAGGUCACAAAAAUUAUAAACUUUCUGUUAGUGCCAUUAGUUUUCAAAUUUGAAUUCUUUUAAAUUGGUGUGAAUCACUAGUUUACGAAUAACUUUACUAUAAAAAUAGAUUUUUGAGUGAUUCUUUUUCCUACUAUUUAAUAUUACCGUGUUUUAUCAUUAUGUUCAAUUUGGUAAUUUUUAGGUUAUUUUAAAUUUCUGUUUUAAUCAAAAAUAGAUUUUUUUUAUUUUAGUUUUCUAUUAAAGUUCUUUAUGAAAAUUCUUUUUGCUAUUAAUGUUUUGAACAAAAAACGUACAAGAGGUUUAUAUAAUCUUUUUAAUUGAUCCCUUUUGCUAUUAGUUAAUUCUUGGGCUAAAUGACCGGCCCUGAAAUUGAAAAACACUACGAAUGAACUCCUAAAAGGUUGAAAGUUGGCAUGGUAUCAUCAUUUCACCCACAUAGCAUGUGCUAAAACCUUGAGGGGGUUACGGCAAAAGUUGGAUGCACUUCAUGUACAAAUUGGACAAUCUUUUUCGAAGUAUCAGGAUUUCGGACGAAAACUCGUCUUUUACAAAAGGCAUUUCAUUUCUUCACAUGUAACUGCAAUGAUAAUCAAGAUCAUAGGCAUUAUCAUAAUAGUUGUGGAAAGAAAGUCUUCACUUUUUCUUUGCUUGUGUCAUUUGAUUAUUGCACCAUAACCAUGGAUAAUCUUCAUCGUUUAACAGGGUGCUUGGGGUCAGCCUUGACUUUGAAGGGAGGAAUUUCAUGUAACUUUUCAUAAUCUUCAGACAUGUCUAUCUCGGCCCCACUCCCAUGAGGUCUCUUUUUCCUGAAAAAACUAUGUGGCGCUUUGCCUCAUCAUAUAAUGUAUUCGCUUCCUUAUCUUUUCUUUUUCUCGGUUUGGUAGACAUGUCCUUCACAUAGAAAACCUGCGCCACAUCAUUGGCUAGGACAGAUGGUUCGUAUGUGUAUCCAAGAUUGUUUAGAUCCAUUGUUGUCAUUCCGUACUAUGGGUCUACCUAUACCCCGCCUCCUGACGGAUUGACCCAUUUGCACUGAAACAAAGGGACCUUAAAAUCAUGUUCAUAGUCAAGUUCCCAUAUGUCCACUAUGUAACCAUAAUAUGUGUCCUUUCCCCUCUUGGUGCUUCAUCAAAGCAGACACCACUAUUUUGGUUGGUUCUCUUUUGAUCUUGAGGGAUCGUGUAAAAUGUAUUCUCAUUUACACUACAAAAAAAAAGA